rnacentral:rRNA from 1 species
UACGGAGGGGGCGAGCGUUGUUCGGAAUCAUUGGGCGUAAAGGGCGCGUAGGCGGCCUCGUAAGUCAGAUGUGAAAGCCCCCGGCUUAACCAGGGAACUGCAUCUGAGACUGCAGGGCUUGAAUCCGGGAGGGGAGAGUGGAAUUCCCAGUGUAGCGGUGAAAUGCGUAGAUAUUGGGAGGAACACCAGUGGCGAAGGCGGCUCUCUGGACCGGCAUUGACGCUGAGGCGCGAAAGCUAGGGGAGCAAACGGG